GGGAUAUGAUGAGUGGUCUAUACUCACAAUAUAUGUGGGAUGAGUGUUCGCCCCAUCGCCUGGUUACGACACUCGGGCACUCCCUCUGUUUCCACCUGAUCCC